GCUGGAUGUGCUGUGCUGAGCGUCGGUACAGAGACUCCGAGGCUGCUACGGGGGAAGAGGAAAUGGCUAUCAAUACAGACAGAAAAACACAACCAUAAUAAAUAGCAACAGACAGCUUUUCCAGAGCAGCGGCUGAGAUGAUGUCAACAAGGUGUGACGCGAGGAGAUUCAAUGUCCUGGGACUUCAUCCCAGUGAAACCUGAACAUGUUUAAGACAGGAUGGAAGAGAGAGUGUCUGCAGACCCACAAAUGUUUGUCAUUCUGAUGCAAUUUUACUUUCUCUGGAUCUUUGCACAUUCUUGCACAUCAGUCUUCAUCCACUGAAGAACAAUGAAGGCGAGAUGUCAGACAGCAUCCAGAAUACAUUCCAGGUCGCAAUCGCAUAUCCACCGUGCUCUCCUCACCUUGCUGUAGUGUGGUGUAACACCUGGGUGUGCUGAAAGGAACCCGAAUCAUGCGGAGGAAAGACUCUUUUAAUCUGUUUCAGAUAUUGUUUCAUUGCUGUAAGCAGUCUUACCUCAUCUAUGAGGUUUCCUCCUCAGACAGGGGGAUCAUGUGUAUCUGCAGGCAUUCCUCGGGCUCAAAUAUCAAAACAGCACUAAAUAACUUGUCAUUCUCAUUCCUCACAACACUCUGCAUUAGAGACAUUAGUAAGCAUGUGGGCCAUAUGUUGUGACUUCUUAACUUGAAAAGAUAUCAAAAGUAAUACGGGGAGGAAAUACGAAGUCAAGUAGGAGUCAUAUUCAAGUGUAAAAAAAGAAACGCUUGGAAAAAAGUUUAACGCUCUACACAUUAUUUUGCUUUCACAAAUUAAACUUCUUGUCAAACAAAAGCGAUAGCUGUUAGUAACCCAGUUACGGAAUGUGCUGUGGGGCUUUAUUCCCUCUCGUGCUUUUAUUGCAAGUCUUUGACUUCCUUGUAUGUGCUGAUCAAGACGUCUCCCAGACAAAAAUACCCAACUUAAUACUUCACAUUUUGUCCCUGUGCUUUCUGAACGAUGAUCAAAUAAGGAACCUUUGACAAAAAGCCACUUAGACAUGCAUCCCAUUUUAUACGCUUGAAUGUUCUCCACUCACGCAAACCGGAUGGAAUCAUUGGGGAACUAAACUGUUAUUGUCUUAUCCAAUAACUCAGGAAACUAUGUUCCUUUGUCUCUGUAGCGGUAUAUGGCAUGUGCUAAAUUCAUGAGUUCAACCAUGUUGCGGUUGUGUGAUGUGUU